rnacentral:rRNA from 1 species
CCCUUAGACGUUCUGGGCCGCACGCGCGCUACACUGACCAGUGCAACAAGCAUCCGUCCUUGGCCGACAGGCCCGGGUAAUCUUUGAACGCUGUUCGUGAUUGGGAUAGACCUUUGCAAUUAUGGGUCUUCAACGAGGAAUUCCUAGUAAACGCAAGUCAUCAGCUUGCAUUGAUUACGUCCCUGCCCUUUGUACACACCGCCCGUCGCACCUACCGAUUGAAUGGUCCGGUGAAAUCUCGGGACGGCGGCUUGGUCGCUUGCGUCCGACUGCUGAAACUUGAUUAAACCAUNUNAUUUAUNGGAAGGUGAANUCGUANCA